rnacentral:rRNA from 1 species
CCCUAUGGGGUGCCAGUUGCCGCAACAAUGAUCGCCCUCCCCACUUUAGGAGGUGGUGACCCAUACGAUCCUUUGCGUAUAGGAAUCGGAAUGUUAAUAGGUGCAGUAUCAGCUCUCGCGACUCGUGAAAUGGGACGCAAACCCAAGUCAAUUGCAUCCUACUUAGUCGAUGCAGAGCAUUUAACUCGUACACCAAGCUAUCUCCUUCACCGCAAGUUUGAAGAAUUUAUCAAUGAUUAAGGUCUUCCUGGAAAAACAAGAGCAGGCCUAGGGUUUCUUCGCCACCUUCUACUUCACUGCCCAGCAAGAUGAGAGUUAAAAGUCAAGGUAUCUCCAGUUUAUCAUGACUAACCAUUAUAUUGAGAGUGAAGAAAAAUAACGUAACAAGAAAGGAAUUGGCGGGGGAGC